UACGUAGGGUGCAAGCGUUGUCCGGAAUUAUUGGGCGUAAAGAGCUCGUAGGCGGUUUGUCGCGUCGAAUGUGAAAACCCGGGGCUCAACCCCGGGCCUGCAUUCGAUACGGGCAGACUAGAGUUCGGUAGGGGAGUCUGGAAUUCCUGGUGUAGCGGUGAAAUGCGUAGAUAUCAGGAGGAACACCGGUGGCGAAGGCGGGACUCUGGGCCGAUACUGACGCUGAGGUGCGAAAGCGUGGGGAGCAAACAGG
rnacentral:rRNA from 1 species